rnacentral:rRNA from 1 species
UGGGAGACCAAAUAUGACGCGGGCUGGAUCUCUCGGGGUUACAGCCUUGCUGAAUUAUUCACCCUUGUCUUUUGCGUACUUCUUGUUUCCUUGGUGGGUUCGCCCACCACUAGGACAAACAUAAACCUUUUGUAAUUGCAAUCAGCGUCAGUAACAAAUUAAUAAUUACAACUUUCAACAACGGAUCUCUUGGUUCUGGCAUCGAUGAAGAACGCAGCGAAAUGCGAUAAGUAGUGUGAAUUGCAGAAUUCAGUGAAUCAUCGAAUCUUUGAACGCACAUUGCGCCCUUUGGUAUUCCAAAGGGCAUGCCUGUUCGAGCGUCAUUUGUACCCUCAAGCUUUGCUUGGUGUUGGGCGUCUUGUCUCUAGCUUUGCUGGAGACUCGCCUUAAAGUAAUUGGCAGCCGGCCUACUGGUUUCGGAGCGCAGCACAAGUCGCACUCUCUAUCAGCAAAGGCCUAGCAUCCAUUAAGCCUUUUUUCAACUUUUGACCUCGGAUCAGGUAGGGAUACCCGCUGAACUUAAGCAUAUCAAAAGCCCCGGAGAGACAA